CGCGGGGUGGAGCAGCCAGGAAGCUCGUCGGGCUCAUAACCCGGAGGUCGCAGGUUCGAAUCCUGCCCCCGCAACCA
rnacentral:tRNA from 1 species